rnacentral:rRNA from 1 species
GGCUAACGCUGGCGGCGUGUCUUAGCCAUGCAAGUCGAGCGGACUUAUGGGGUAACUUAUAAGUCAGCGGCGGACGGCGGGGUAACACGUAGCUAACCUACCCUCUGGACGGGGAUAACCUACCGAAAGGUGGGCUAAUACCCGAUGUAGUCAUCCUGUAUAGGGGUGAUGAAAGGUGGGCUUCUGUUUACAAGCUCAUGCUGGAGGAGGGGGCUGCGGCCUAUCAGGUAGUUGGUAGGGUAAUAGCCUACCAAGCCGAUGACGGGUAGCCGGCCUGAGAGGGUGACCGGCCCGAGGGGCACUGAGAUACGGGUCCCACUCCUACGGGAGGCAGCAGGCUAGAAAUUUGGGCAAUGGGGGAAACCCUGACCCAGUGACGCCGCGUGCAGGAAGGAGCCCUUCGGGGUGUAAACUGCUGUCGUGUAGGGAGAAGGGUACUAAGGUGAACAAUCUUAGUACUUGACGGUACUACAGGAGGAAGCCCAGGCUAACCUCGUG